ACUCCUGCGGGAGGCAGCAGUGGGGAAUAUUGGACAAUGGGCGCAAGCCUGAUCCAGCCAUGCCGCGUGAGUGAUGAAGGCCCUAGGGUUGUAAAGCUCUUUCACCGGUGAAGAUAAUGACGGUAACCGGAGAAGAAGCCCCGGCUAACUUCGUGCCAGCAGCCGCGGUAAUACGAAGGGGGCUAGCGUUGUUCGGAUUUACUGGGCGUAAAGCGCACGUAGGCGGACUAUUAAGUCAGGGGUGAAAUCCCGGGGCUCAACCCCGGAACUGCCUUUGAUACGGGUAGUCUUGAGUUCGAGAGAGGUGAGUGGAAUUCCGAGUGUAGAGGGGAAAUUCGUAGAUAUUCGGAGGAACACCAGUGGCGAAGGCGGCUCACUGGCUCGAUACUGACGCUGAGGUGCGAAAGCGUGGGGAGCAAACAGGAUUAGAAACCCCAGUAGUCCC
rnacentral:rRNA from 1 species